rnacentral:rRNA from 1 species
AACAAACGCUGGCGGCGUGCCUAAUACAUGCAAGUCGAACGGGGUAGCAAUACCUAGUGGCGCACGGGUGAGUAACGCGUGGAUAAUCUGCCUUAGAGUGGGGGAUAACUAGUCGAAAGAUUAGCUAAUACCGCAUAAGACCACAAGAACUGCGGUUCAAGGGGUCAAAGGUUUUUCGCUCUAAGAUGAGUCCGCGUAAGAUUGGCUAGUUGGUGAGGUAACGGCUCACCAAGGCGACGACCGUUAACUGGUCUGCGAGGAUGAUCAGUCACACUGGGACUGAGACACGGUCCAGACUCCUACGGGAGGCAGCAGUAGGGAAUAUUGCACAAUGGAGGAAACUCUGAUGCAGCGACGCCGCGUGAGUGAUGAAGGCCUUCGGGUCGUAAAGCUCUGUCGCAGGGGAAUAACACAAUGAAUGUACCCUGUAAGAAAGGAUCGGCUAACUUCGUGCCAGCCGCCGCCGUAAGAC